rnacentral:lncRNA from 1 species
AUGCUCCACAGUCCGACCCUGAGAACAGCCUCAGAUACAACGUGCGCGCUCCCGGCAGCGGCCGUGACCGUGAUCACAAUCUCGCCGAAGAGCUGUCAUUCCUAUCUGGGAGGGGCACCUGGGCGGUGGCGAUCCGCGCCGGUUAAGGCAUCCUGGGAGGGGGGCCGCGGGCGAGUCGGGGUCUGCGGCCGGGAUGCGGGAGGGUCCGUGCGUCGCCGCCCGCGCCCCGCGGCGCGGCUGCUGACGGCGCGCGCGGGCUUCCCCGGCCGCGGGUCUGCGGAGCCAGCCCCGUUACCUAGCGACUCGCUCCGGGGAGCCCAAGCUGACGCGCGCCACGAACGGGGCUGCGGCAGCCGAAGGGAAGGGAGGGGAGGGGGAGCGUCGGGGAGGGGAGGGCGGGCGGCUGCGGCCGGAGCUCCUCCCUCCCACCGCCUCCCCCUCAGCGCUGGAGAGGGGGCCCCGGGGAAGACGUGGCCUCAGCCCGGCCGGGGCCGGUGGGGGCCGGUGGGGGCCGGCGCCGGGCGGGAAGCGGAGGGGGGAGGCACGGAGAUGCUCCUUCCCCCUCACUGGGGACGCAGCAGCAGGUGGCGGCGGCGUGGCCGGCUGAGGCCCGGCGCCCACAGGCUCGCCGAGAUGGGCCCGGCCCGGGCGGGAGCGCGGCGAGUGUGGCUGUGGGCGCGUGGGUGUGUGUGACACGCUCCCACCCACGUGGCGUACAUGGGACCUGAGGACGCGAGUGAAGGAGGAGCCUCCUCCUUCCUUGGUCUCCCUCCCUCCCUCCUUCCUGGACAUUCUGCUCCCUGCGAUGACUGUCUUUCAUCAUGGAAGUACAGGUCGCUCUGCUCCCUGCUCUGAGCUCCUCCUACCUUCCGAGAACAGGAGGUCGCUGGCAGCUACGUGGAGAUCAAACCUCCGCCACCAUCUCCCCUCCCUGGCCCCACCUCAUCUCCCCUGUCUCCUUGCCCGCCUCGUCAGGGGACUUUCCUGUUUCUGCAUUGGGGGCCUCUUAGACUGGGGUUCACAUUCAGGCCCUUUCAGUUGUAUGAUGCUCCUUGAGUUAUUUAACGUCUUCACUAAAACGAAGUGCUUGUCCCCCAAAGUCCUAGCUAAGUACUAGCAUCUAAGGUGUUCCGUGAAUGUGCUCGGCAUGUGUUUGCUGGAAGGUUUGCGGCCUGUCUCUUGAGCCUGUGGGACCUCACCAAAAUACACCCCGGCACCCAGGAAACGGUGCUAUGACAUACGAAACAUAUGCUAGCAGCAGGGACCCCUGCUUUUACAGAUGAGAGAGGUAACUUGCCCAAAUCCACUGGGUGCUUCAAAGCAGAGCUGGGCCCGGAACGCAGGCUUCCUGGUUCCCAGGAACUCAAUACCCCACCACCGCCCCCUCUUUAACACCUGAGAAUAGCAACCACCUGCCAGGUCACCC